rnacentral:rRNA from 1 species
GAAACAGCUAUGACCAUCCUAAGGUAGCGAAAUUCCUUGUCGGGUAAGUUCCGACCUGCACGAAUGGCGUAACGACUUCCCCACUGUCUCAACCACAGGCCCGGCGAAAUUGCAGUACGAGUAAAGAUGCUCGUUACGCGCGGCAGGACGGAAAGACCCCGGGACCUUUACUAUAGCUUGACAUUGGUAUCUGAAUUCGAUUGUGUAGGAUAGGUGGGAGACUGUGAAGCUCGGACGCCAGUUCGGGUGGAGUCAUUGUUGAAAUACCACUCUGUUGGGUUUGGGUAUCUAACUUGCGGCCCUGAUCGGGUCGAGGGACAGUGUCUGGUGGGUAGUUUAACUGGGGCGGUUGCCUCCUAAAGGGUAACGGAGGCGCCCAAAGGUUCCCUCAGCCUGGUUGGCAAUCAGGUGUUGAGUGUAAGUGCAUAAGGGAGCUUGACUGUGAGACUGACGGGUCGAGCAGGGACGAAAGUCGGGACUAGUGAUCCGGCACUUGCGUGUGGAAGCGGUGUCGCUCAACGGAUAAAAGGUACCCCGGGGAUAACAGGCUGAUCUUCCCCAAGAGUCCAUAUCGACGGGAUGGUUUGGCACCUCGAUGUCGGCUCGUCGCAUCCUGGGCUGUAGCAGGUCCCAAGGGUUGGGCUGUUCGCCCAUUAAAGCGUCACGCGAGCUGGGUUUAGAACGUCGUGAGACAGUUCGGUCCCUAUCCGCCGUGCGCGUUGGAUACUUGAGAAGGGCUGUCCCUAGUACGAGAGGACCGGGACGGACGAACCUCUGGUGUGCCAGUUGUUCUGCCAAGAGCACGGCUGGUUGGCUACGUUCGGAAGGGAUAACCGCUGAAAGCAUCUAAGCGGGAAGCUCGCUUCGAGAUGAGGUAUCCCACCACCUUGAGUGGGUAAGGCUCCCAGCUAGACUACUGGGUUGAUAGGCCGGAGAUGUAAGCACGGUAACGUGUUGAGUUGACCGGUACUAAUAGGCCGAGGGCUUAACCAC